UGAGGAAUAUUGGUCAAUGGACGGAAGUCUGAACCAGCCAUGCCGCGUGAAGGAUGAAGGCGUUCUGCGUUGUAAACUUCUUUUAUCUGGGAAGAAACCACAGCAUUCUAUUUCUGUUGACGGUACCAGAUGAAUAAGCACCGGCUAACUCCGUGCCAGCAGCAGCGGUAAUACGGAGGGUGCAAGCGUUAUCCGGAUUUCUUGGGUUUCAAGGGUGCGUAGGCGGCCUGUUAAGUCAGUGGUGAAAGUCGGCAGCUCAACUGUCGAAUUGCCUUUGAUACUGGCAGGCUUGAAUGAAGUUGAAGAGUGCGGAAUGUGACAUGUAGCGGUUAAAUGCAUAGAUAUGUCACAGAACACCGAUUGCGAAGGCAGCUCUCUAAGCGUGAAUUGACGCUGAUGCACGAAAGCGUG
rnacentral:rRNA from 1 species